rnacentral:rRNA from 1 species
GACAAUUCCUACGGGGAGGCAGCAGUAGGGAAUCUUCCACAAUGGGCGCAAGCCUGAUGGAGCAACACCGCGUGAGUGAAGAAGGGUUUCGGCUCGUAAAGCUCUGUUGUUGGAGAAGAACGUGCGUGAGAGUAACUGUUCACGCAGUGACGGUAUCCAACCAGAAAGUCACGGCUAACUACGUGCCAGCAGCCGCGGUAAUACGUAGGUGGCAAGCGUUAUCCGGAUUUAUUGGGCGUAAAGCGAGCGCAGGCGGUUGCUUAGGUCUGAUGUGAAAGCCUUCGGCUUAACCGAAGAAGUGCAUCGGAAACCGGGCGACUUGAGUGCAGAAGAGGACAGUGGAACUCCAUGUGUAGCGGUGGAAUGCGUAGAUAUAUGGAAGAACACCAGUGGCGAAGGCGGCUGUCUGGUCUGCAACUGACGCUGAGGCUCGAAAGCAUGGGUAGCGAACAGGAUUAGAUACCCUGGUAGUCCAUGCCGUAAACGAUGAGUGCUAGGUGUUGGAGGGUUUCCGCCCUUCAGUGCCGGAGCUAACGCAUUAAGCACUCCGCCGGGGGAGAAACCCCA